UCAGACAUGGUGUAGCGGUAACAUGGCCUAUUCGAUUAAGCGAGUCAUUUAAGCUUAUGGGGCCGUCCCGGGUUCGAACCCCGGUGUCUGAG